UUUUUUAAUAUUUUAUGGUUUUAAUCAUAUCGAACGGUAUACGCAGUCCGUUUAUAUAUUUCAUAAAGAGUUACAGAUUUUAAUCAAGUUGGUACUUGGUAAUGGGGAGUUAUAAUAUGAAGGAAGUUGUUCAUGUUUUCACGUAUCAGUUAUAAUACUUUAACAAUUUGCUGCACGGCGAGAGAAUAGCUUUUGAACUAAAUCGUUCUUACUUUGCCAUAGUGCGGGGAUACGAGUGCACCAGCAAUUUUAAACUCUAAUAGCAGCUCGUCUUUCCUUUGAGGCUCUUUCACGCCACACUUUGUUUGAAUUAUUCAUACGUUCUGUUAGAUAUCUAUGAAAUCGAACGUCGUCUAAAUGUUAGACUUCCUAUACGAGCCGUAUGUUAUUCCAAUACCAUUUGCAUUAUUUAAUUCCGAAAGAAUCUACCCUUUUUUAAUGUAAUUAAAAUGACAUUAAAAGAAAGCGAAGGAAUGAAUUUAAAUGAACAAUGUAGAGUGUUGACUCAGUAAAGCCAUCAAUCUCGAGGAGGGACGACAUGAGGGUCCAUUUCACGAAAGUCUUUCAACAAACUUUUGUAUUGGCCCUUUGAUAAAUAGUGGACAAGUUCAGAUCACCGGACCGUUGUCUGUGAUAAAUUAAUAAUGAAUUUUUCACAUCGGAGUUACAAAGAGAAAAGCGCGUUAAAUGGUUUGUUCAUUUCAACGCAAUUUAGCGAAAGAAUUUAAAAUUACUUAUUACCUCAUUAAAUUUACUUAAAAACCUAAAUAUCAGUAGUGUCGAACACAAAAAAAAACAGUUUGAAAUUAUUUUCUGUUAUUUUGUUUGUUUUUCAGAAAUUUCAAUGUCUAUCUACCAAUGAAAAAGUUAUAAUGAUAACCAUGCAUAGACAAAACUAUUCACGCGCAUGAAGUUGAAACGUUGGUUUAAUGCUCUGGUUGAAACAGAUGUAGGUACUUACCCGCAAUUUACUUUUUACCGAACUUUUAUCUGAAUUUCAAAUGAAAACUAGUAAAGAAAUAUUAUAGAUUUGGAGGUGGAAACUGUCGGUGUAACAAUUAGUUAGCGUCGCAUCUGCAAUGCUCUAAGAUUUCAGCGAGGGUUUAAACAAGGCUACGUUAGUUUCAUAGAACUAAGAUCCGACGUAAAUACUGACGUUCGUUUGUUUAAGUUUAAUUCCAACGAUGUUUAUCUUUGUGAGUAAAAGUAAUGUUUUAACGGACUGGACUA